rnacentral:lncRNA from 1 species
CGGUGAGUCCAUGGCGACGGCGGCACGAAGGCGACCAAGACCCCUAUCUUCGGCGGCUCCAAAGGAGGCCCAAAUGAGGUUGAAAAUAGCCAACAAGCUUGCUGCUUGAGCUGGGAAACCAAUUCUCAGCUGAGCUGGGCGAACCAGCUGCUGGUCAUUGGCAUUGGCUGGGCGUGGGGUUGCUCUACUGCUGGAGUUGGAACGCUGAACAGUGGCUUGCGGGUUGAGCGGCACGAGGAGCUGGUCGCAUUUGCUAGCCUUGCUGCCCUUAUUGGACUGGCUGCUGGAAUUGCUGGCUUGCGGCAACAAAACAAAAGGAAAGGGCCUGGUGAAGGAGAGGGACGUGAGGUGAGAGUUUGCUGGGUUGAAGUGUUGCUGGUGUGACUGAAAUUGGAGGCUGUGGCAGCCGAGUGUGAAGCUUUGGUGGAUGCUAGCAUUAUAUGGAGGGGUGAGGGCUGGUGACGUGAAGGGGUGAAGAAACGUGAGAUGGAGAGAGUGGAGGGGAAGAAAGAUGAACACGUGAAAGGGAAAUGGAGUGGG